rnacentral:snRNA from 1 species
GGAUGUGAGGGAGAUCUGGCUGUGACAUCUGUCACCCCAUUGAUUGCCAAGGUUGAUUCGGCUGGUCUGGCUGGCUAGGUGGGUGUUCCCUUCCUCUCUCACUGCUCCAAGUGCAUCCCUCCUGAAGCUGCACGCUCGGUCGAAGAAGAUGGCCUUCCCCGAAUAGAGACCGACUGGUCUUUGGUCCAGGGUGUAUGAGUAGCUGCACUCCCCUCCUAGAACCUCCAAACAUGCUCUCAUACUGUGAUACUAAAUAAAAUAUCAUUCAACCAAAAAUUAAUUUGGAAGAUUUCUAACUUUCUUA